UAUCAAUAAUCAGCAUCCCCUCCAUGCGAUUGCAGCAGAGACGCGUUCACCAAUUUCAUCAGCGGCCACUUAGCUCAGUUGGUUAGAGC